AGCAGCAGCCGCGGGAAUACGAAGGGGGCUAGCGUUACUCGGAAUUACUGGGCGUAAAGGGCGCGUAGGCGGCGCUCCAAGUUAGGCGUGAAAGUCCUGGGCUCAACCUGGGAACUGCGCUUAAGACUGGAGUGCUUGAGGAUGGAAGAGGGUUGUGGAAUUCCCAGUGUAGAGGUGAAAUUCGUAGAUAUUCGCAGGAACACCAGUGGCGAAGGCGGCUAACUGGCCCGGUACUGACGCUGAGGUGCGAAAGCGUGGGGAGCAAACAGGAUUAGAUACCCCCGUAGUCCCUGUCUCUUAUAC
rnacentral:rRNA from 1 species